rnacentral:rRNA from 1 species
GUUUGAUUCUGGCUCAGAUUGAACGCUGGCGGGAUGCUUUACACAUGCAAGUCGAACGGCAGCGGACUUCGGUCUGGUGGCGGAUGGCGAACGUUGAGUAAUGUAUCAGACGUGCCUAGUAGCGGGGAACGGCUGCAGAAAGCGCGUAGCUAAUACCAUGCAUACGCUCGAAGGAAAGCGGGGGACCUUCCCGGGCCUCGCACUAUUAGAGCAGCCGAUAUCUGGAUAGCUAGUUGGUGAGGCAACGGCUCCGCAAGGCGACGAUCCGUAGCUGGUUUGAGAGGACGACCAGCCCUGGGACUGAGACACGGUCAGACUGCUCACCACGGAGAGCAGCAGUGGGGAAUUUUGGACAAUGGAAACCUGAUCCAGCCAUCCGCGUGUGCGAUGAAGGCCUUCGGGUUGUAAAGCUUUUUGGCAGGAAAGAAACGGCACGGGAUAAUACCCCGUGCAACCUUGCUGGUACGCACAGAAUAAGCACCGGCUAACUACGUGCCAGCAGCCGCGAUAUCACGUAAGUGCAAGCGUUAAUCGGAAUUACUGGGCGUAAAGCGUGCGCAGGCGGUUCGGAAGAAAGAUGUGAAAUCCCAGAGCUUAACUUUGGAACUGCAUUUUUAACUACCGGGCUACAGAGUGUGUCAGGAGGAGGUGGAAUUUCGCGUGUAGCAGUGAAAUGCGUAGAUAUGCGGAGAACACCGAUGGCGAAGGCAGCUCUGGGAUAACACUGACGCUCAUGCACGAAAAGCGUAGGGGAGCAAACAGGAUUAGAUACCCUGGUAGUCCACGCCUAUAAGCUUGAUAUCAACUAGCUGUUGGGGCCUUCGGGCCUUUGACACAGCCGCAUGCUGCGACAAGGUCAGCCGCCUGGGGGAUACGGUCGCAAGAUUAAAGCUCAAGAAAAUUGACGGGGACCCGCUACAAGCGGUGGAUGAUGUGGAUUAAUUCGAUGCAACGCGAAAAACCUUACCUACCCUUGACAUGUCUGGAAUCCGAAGAAUUUGGGAGUGCUCGCAAGAAGAACCCGGAACACAGGUGCUGCGCUGGCUGUCGUCAGCUCGUGUCGUGAGAUGUUGGGUUAAGUCCGCAACGAGCGCAACCCUUGUCAUUAGUUGCUACGAAGGGCACUCUAAUGAGACUGCCGGUGACAAACCGGAGGAAGAGGAACGGGGAUGACGCCAAGUCCUCAUGGCCCUUAUGGGUAGGGCUUCACACGUCAUACAAUGGUCAGGACAGAGGGUCGCCAACCCGCAGGGGGGAACUGUAAUCCCGAAACCCGAUCGUAGAUCAGAUCAGUCUGCAACUCGACUGCGUGAAGUCAGAAUCGCUAGUAAUCGCGGAUAGCAUGUCGCGGUGAAUACGUUCCCGGGUCUUGUACACACCGCCCGUCUACACCAUGGGAGUGGGUUUUACCAAGUAGUUAGCCUAACCGUAAGGAGGGCGAUUACCACGGUAGGAUUCAUGACUGGGGUGAAGUCGUAACAA